rnacentral:rRNA from 2 species
CCGCAAUGGGCGAAAGCCUGACGGAGCAACGCCGCGUGAGUGAUGAAGGUCUUCGGAUCGUAAAACUCUGUUAUUAGGGAAGAACAUACGUGUAAGUAACUGUGCACGUCUUGACGGUACCUAAUCAGAAAGCCACGGCUAACUACGUGCCAGCAGCCGCGGUAAUACGUAGGUGGCAAGCGUUAUCCGGAAUUAUUGGGCGUAAAGCGCGCGUAGGCGGUUUUUUAAGUCUGAUGUGAAAGCCCACGGCUCAACCGUGGAGGGUCAUUGGAAACUGGAAAACUUGAGUGCAGAAGAGGAAAGUGGAAUUCCAUGUGUAGCGGUGAAAUGCGCAGAGAUAUGGAGGAACACCAGUGGCGAAGGCGACUUUCUGGUCUGUAACUGACGCUGAUGUGCGAAAGCGUGGGGAUCAAACAGGAUUAGAUACCCUGGUAGUCCACGCCGUAAACGAUGAGUGCUAAGUGUUAGGGGG